AUGUAGUGCUUCAUUCUGCAGAGGAACAAGUAACCUGCUAAAACAUUCCUGUUUAAUAUUUGACAAGCAAAUUAUUCCCUUACUGAAGGAAACUAGUGCUAACCUUUCCUCCACCACACUGAGCAUUUAAGCCCUCAAGAGACACUCCUGGGACAGAUGGGUGAUGGGCAAGCUGGAAUACUGUAAUGUGCUCAGAAUGAAAAGCCCCUGCACUUAGAAAUUAAAAUAAGAUCAGGAGCCAAGUGGAGAGAAAGGUUAUUAGAACAUGGUCUAGAGAAAAAGCUGGAGGAUGAUCCACAAUUCCAUCCUGAGGGAAGAGGAAACACUGCCUUUAGGGUGAUUCUUCAUAGCAGGGAAGCUGAUGGAAAACUGACAGACCCU
ensembl:lincRNA